rnacentral:rRNA from 1 species
GACGAACGCUGGCGGCGUGCUUAACACAUGCAAGUCGAACGGAAAGGCCCUGCUUUUGUGGGGUGCUCGAGUGGCGAACGGGUGAGUAACACGUGAGUAACCUGCCCUUGACUUUGGGAUAACUUCAGGAAACUGGGGCUAAUACCGGAUAGGAGCUCCUGCUGCAUGGUGGGGGUUGGAAAGUUUCGGCGGUUGGGGAUGGACUCGCGGCUUAUCAGCUUGUUGGUGGGGUAGUGGCUUACCAAGGCUUUGACGGGUAGCCGGCCUGAGAGGGUGACCGGCCACAUUGGGACUGAGAUACGGCCCAGACUCCUACGGGAGGCAGCAGUGGGGAAUAUUGCACAAUGGGCGGAAGCCUGAUGCAGCAACGCCGCGUGCGGGAUGACGGCCUUCGGGUUGUAAACCGCUUUCGCCUGUGACGAAGCGUGAGUGACGGUAAUGGGUAAAGAAGCACCGGCUAACUACGUGCCAGCAGCCGCGGUGAUACGUAGGGUGCGAGCGUUGUCCGGAUUUAUUGGGCGUAAAGGGCUCGUAGGUGGUUGAUCGCGUCGGAAGUGUAAUCUUGGGGCUUAACCCUGAGCGUGCUUUCGAUACGGGUUGACUUGAGGAAGGUAGGGGAGAAUGGAAUUCCUGGUGGAGCGGUGGAAUGCGCAGAUAUCAGGAGGAACACCAGUGGCGAAGGCGGUUCUCUGGGCCUUUCCUGACGCUGAGGAGCAAAAGCGUGGGGAGCGAACAGGCUUAGAUACCCUGGUAGUCCACGCUGUAAACGGUGGGUACUAGGUGUGGGGUCCAUUCCACGGGUUCCGUGCCGUAGCUAACGCUUUAAGUACCCCGCCUGGGGAGUACGGCCGCAGGGCUAAAACUCAAAGGAAUUGACGGGGCCCCGCACAAGCGGCGGAGCAUGCGGAUUAAUUCGAUGCAACGCGUAGAACCUUACCUGGGUUUGACAUGGAUCGGGAGUGCUCAGAGAUGGGUGUGCCUCUUUUGGGGUCGGUUCACAGGUGGUGCAUGGCUGUCGUCAGCUCGUGUCGUGAGAUGUUGGGUUAAGUCCCGCAACGAGCGCAACCCUUGUUCACUGUUGCCAGCACGUUAUGGUGGGGACUCAGUGGAGACCGCCGGGGUCAACUCGGAGGAAGGUGGGGAUGACGUCAAGUCAUCAUGCCCCUUAUGUCCAGGGCUUCACGCAUGCUACAAUGGCUGGUACAGAGAGUGGCGAGCCUGUGAGGGUGAGCGAAUCUCGGAAAGCCGGUCUCAGUUCGGAUUGGGGUCUGCAACUCGACCUCAUGAAGUCGGAGUCGCUAGUAAUCGCAGAUCAGCAACGCUGCGGUGAAUACGUUCCCGGGGCU